UAUCAAUAAGCGGAGGAAAAGAAACCAACAGGGAUUGCCCCAGUAACGGCGAGUGAAGCGGCAACAGCUCAAAUUUGAAAUCUGGCUUUCGGGCCCGAGUUGUAAUUUGUAGAGGAUGCUUUUGGCGCGGUGCCUUCCGAGUUCCCUGGAACGGGACGCCACAGAGGGUGAGAGCCCCCUACGGUCGGACACCAAGCCUCUGUAAAGCUCCUUCGACGAGUCGAGUAGUUUGGGAAUGCUGCUCUAAAUGGGAGGUAUAUCUCUUCUAAAGCUAAAUAUAGGCCAGAGACCGAUAGCGCACAAGUAGAGUGAUCGAAAGAUGAAAAGCACUUUGAAAAGAGGGUUAAAAAGUACGUGAAAUUGUUGAAAGGGAAGGGCUUGUGACCAGACUUGUGCCGGGUUGAUCAUCCGCGGUUCUCCCGCGGUGCACUCUCCCCGGUCCAGGCCAGCGUCGGUUCUGGGAGGGGGACAAAAGCUUGGGGAACGUGGCUCCUCCGGGAGUGUUAUAGCCCCUCGCCCAAUGCCCCUGCCGGGACCGAGGUUCGCGCUCUGCAAGACGCUG
rnacentral:rRNA from 1 species